UACGAAGGGGGCUAGCGUUGCUCGGAAUUACUGGGCGUAAAGGGCGCGUAGGCGGCACUGUUAGUCAGGCGUGAAAUUCCUGGGCUCAACCUGGGGACUGCGCUUGAUACGGCAGAGCUUGAGGAUGGAAGAGGGUCGCGGAAUUCCCAGUGUAGAGGUGAAAUUCGUAGAUAUUGGGAAGAACACCGGUGGCGAAGGCGGUGGUCUGGGCCUGAACUGACGCUGAGGAGCGAAAGCCAGGGGAGCAAACAGG
rnacentral:rRNA from 1 species